rfam:Oryza nivara chromosome 8, whole genome shotgun sequence.
CUCAAAAAAAGACUAUAGUUUUGCACUAUUUAUAACCGUCCGUCUUAUUUGAAAUUUUUUAUGAUUAAUAUUUUUGUUAUUAUUAGAUGAUAAAACAUGAAUAAUACUUUAUUUGUGACUAAUUUAUUAUUCCAUAAAUUUUUCAAAUAAGAUAUACGGUCAAAUGUUGGAUACGGAAACCCACAAUUGCACUUAAA